UUUAAGUACAUCUGGACAAAAGCCUGACACAAGCUAGAACUUAAGGGCUUACGACUGGGUAAGAGCAACGUUCCCAAACAGAAAACUAAAAUAUGAGGAAAUGAGAAGCUAUGGGACAAACCCCUUUCCACGUCUUCGUACUCGAGUGGCACCUUUCCCUGACAGUGAGAACCAUCGUGGCAAGGAGCCUCCCUCUGCUCCCAACAGCUAAGGCGGCGAAUUAGCUGGGUUACAAUCGACUGUGACACCUUAAUGACAACUUCAACUUCAGCAAAAUCGCCAUCUCGCCAAAAUAGCCUGGGUUCACAGGUUAAGUGUGCUCGGUGUCAGGAGGCUAAGCAUACGGAAUAAACAUGAUCAGUCUCCAUCAGUAAGAAAGGCCAGGGGGGAGCAGACGGCAGCCUUUGGAAACCAGAAGAGGGGGACGCAGGAAAACCCCGGGAGGAGAAUUAUUUAUGCUGCUGUGAAAGCUGAUGGCAGAGCUCCGAAGGAAAGAAGCACUGACCCUUCCCAGACAUCGGGAAAAGAAGCAGCAGCUCUGGAACAGAACACAAACUCUUCACUGAGUGGCAGCUUUGAUGCAUUGCCCUCUUGACGAUGCACCAAUAAAAACUAACAGACGGGAUACCCACACAGUGUAACACGGCACAGCCACCGGAGCGCCGAUGGUAUCGGCUGAGGCCAUGCAUGCUAUUUUGCUAUGUACCUUUUCCUGAAGCAAGGCUGGGGAGCAAGAAGAUUAUGACGGUAUGUGCACCUAAUUCAAGAUUAAUAUUGCACCAGAGGAAAAAAAUGGCUUAGCUUGGGACCUGAGAAGCUACAUUUCAAAAACUGGUUUCCUUGGAAAAUCUCCAGAAUUGAAUACAAGCAUUUCCAAGGAAAUUAAAAAAAAAAAAAAAAAAAAAA